rnacentral:rRNA from 1 species
UACAGAGGGGGCAAGCGUUGUUCGGAAUUACUGGGCGUAAAGGGCGCGUAGGCGGCCGCCUAAGUCAGACGUGAAAUCCCUCGGCUCAACCGGGGAACUGCGUCUGAUACUGGGUGGCUUGAAUCCGGGAGAGGGAUGCGGAAUUCCAGGUGUAGCGGUGAAAUGCGUAGAUAUCUGGAGGAACACCGGUGGCGAAGGCGGCAUCCUGGACCGGCAUUGACGCUGAGGCGCGAAAGCCAGGGGAGCAAACGGGAUUAGAUACCCCGGUAGUCCUGGCCCUAAACGAUGAGUGCUUGGUGUGGCGGGUAUCGAUCCCUGCCGUGCCGAAGCUAACGCAUUAAGCACUCCGCCUGGGGAGUACGGUCGCAAGGCUGAA